rnacentral:rRNA from 1 species
GAUGAACGCUGACAGAAUGCUUAACACAUGCAAGUCAACUUGAAUUUGGGUUUUUAACUUAGAUUUGGGUGGCGGACGGGUGAGUAACGCGUAAAGAACUUGCCUCACAGCUAGGGACAACAUUUAGAAAUGAAUGCUAAUACCUGAUAUUAUGAUUUUAAGGCAUCUUAGAAUUAUGAAAGCUAUAAGCACUGUGAGAGAGCUUUGCGUCCCAUUAGCUAGUUGGAGAGGUAACAGCUCACCAAGGCGAUGAUGGGUAGCCGGCCUGAGAGGGUGAACGGCCACAAGGGGACUGAGACACGGCCCUUACUCCUACGGGAGGCAGCAGUGGGGAAUAUUGGACAAUGGACCGAGAGUCUGAUCCAGCAAUUCUGUGUGCACGAUGAAGUUUUUCGGAAUGUAAAGUGCUUUCAGUUGGGAAGAAAGAAAUGACGGUACCAACAGAAGAAGUGACGGCUAAAUACGUGCCAGCAGCCGCGGUAAUACGUAUGUCACGAGCGUUAUCCGGAUUUAUUGGGCGUAAAGCGCGUCUAGGUGGUUAUGUAAGUCUGAUGUGAAAAUGCAGGGCUCAACUUUGUAUUGCGUUGGAAACUGUAUAACUAGAGUACUGGAGAGGUAAGCGGAACUACAAGUGUAGAGGUGAAAUUCGUAGAUAUUUGUAGGAAUGCCGAUGGGGAAGCCAGCUUACUGGACAGAUACUGACGCUAAAGCGCGAAAGCGUGGGUAGCAAACAGG